AUAUCGUCAAUUAAAAGAAACUGUGAUUAGUAUACCUACGUUGUUUAAAAUAAUUUUAGGAAAUAAAAUUAAUAAAAUGUUUUCAGAAUAUGUGAAUUGAAUUACAAUGGUAUAAUACUCUUCAAAAGUAAACUUUGAAAUUACGUGUUUAAAGUUCCUGAGUUAAAAAUAAACACAGUAUAUUGUACAUAAUCUUAAUUGUUGUGUAAUAAAGACAUUUUUAAUAUCAUGUGAAAGGUGCUUCUUUUUGACGCAAGUCCACGUGUAUCUUGAAAACGGCUUCGAACUUGGAGUUUACUAUACCAACUAAAAAACAAUUGAUGUGAAUGUUUUGUCUCCUUAAAAUGAAGCAUGUUAAUACAAUAGUUCUGCAUGAGAUUCAUUGUUUUUUUGGAUUGGUACAGAAAAAGUAAAGAAUCGUGAAAAAGAUGAGACUGGUUGUACAACGUGUUCACAAAGCCUCCGUUCAACUCAAGGAAACAAAUGAAACGGUUUCGUCAAUUGGAUCAGGAGUGGCAGUCUUAUGGGGCAUAGAUCGUUCGGAUACAUGGUUGAUGUCUUAGAGACGCAAAUCGUCAUAGUGGCAGAAAAUAACCGUCUGUGUUUUUUUUUCAGGGAAGAAGCAGAGUUUUGUAUUAAUAAAUUGUUAAAUACACGGUUGUUUCCUGACGACAAUUCUAAGGAUUGGAAAUGCUCUGUGACCGAUUUGAAUUAUGAAAUUCUUGUUAUAUCCCAAUUCACAUUGUUAGCGUAAGAUGAGUCAUUUGUCAAUUUUAACAUACAAAGUAUGGUCAAUAAUCUUAGCAAUGGAGCGUACGUUCGCCUUGGAUUUAUACACACGUAUAGUUGAGCGAAUUAAACAGUUGUAUAAAGCUGAAAAAAUUAAAACGGGAUUUUUUGGAAAUCCAUGUAAUGUCUCCAUAGAAAAUAAUGGGCCUUGCACAAUACUGAUUGAUAGUUCUCUUAGAUGAAAGAAGCUAUCGUUACAACGCUAACAUAAAUAAGUAAGUUCUCUCCACAUUUUAAGCCUUUUAGUAAAUAUCAUAGAAAACAAUUUUGCUAUUUAUUAUGAACUAUAAGAUAAGUAGAGGUGGAGACAUACAACUAGCAGAAGCCUCCCAUAUUUUUCGUCAUGUUUUGUCAAAUAAAAAGAUAUCGUUUGUAUCGGUUUAAAGUCAUGUGUAAAAACAAAACUCGUCCAGCGAAAAAACAAGAAUUGAAUAAAACAUUUAUUUAUUUAACAUGUUUACAAAAAAAAUGCUUAACUUCUUGACAUGGUAAUAGAUGUACACACUUCGUUAUUACAAUACCACUGCUCAAACUAUAAAGAAUGAUUGAACUAAACUUACAUUUUUAAUGUAUUUGUUGAACGACUUUUGAAAAAAACAAGGGUUCUCUAAUGUAACUCAUAAGCCGCAUCCCAGCAUUUUAAUGUAAUCAAAACAAUUUGAUAAAAGGAAAAAAACAUGAUUUUUUCUUAAAUUCAUGUUAAAAUGUACGCAAUAAUGAUGGAUCAAA